rnacentral:piRNA from 1 species
AGUCUCGGGAAUAGCGCGCACCCA